GGACUACUCGGGUAUCUAAUCCCGUUUGCUCCCCUGGCUUUCGCACAUCAGCGUCAGAAGUCAACCAGUGCACCGCUUUCGCCGCCGGCGUUCCUCCCGAUAUCAACGCAUUUCACCGCUCCACCGGGAAUUCCAUGCACCCCUUUGACCCUCAAGCAACGCAGUAUCGGGCGCAGUUCCUCGGUUGGGCCGAGGGAUUUCACACCCGACUUACGCCGCCGCCUACGUGCGCUUUAUGCCCAGUGAUUCCGAACAACGCUCGCCACCUUCGUCUUACCGCGGCUGCUGGCAC
rnacentral:rRNA from 1 species